GAGAUUGAAGCUGGAAGAGAGGUAGAGGAGGAAAGAUUGAAGCUAGAAGAGAGGUAGAGGAAGAGAGAUUGAAGCUGGAUGAUGGCUGGCUCAGGGUCUUGAAGGAGCAGGACCAGGCAUUGUGGGGACAGAGUGAGAAGUUUGGAUGUGGAGACUAGAGCUGAUUGUUACUGGGGUGGGGAAUGCCCAAAAGGAUAGAGAAGAUGCCUGGGAAACUGCCCAGCUGAUAGGAUGGUGAAAUACUAGACCAGAAGAAUGUGCCUCUGCUGUUCCUAUUUCCUUUGCUUGUGUUGUUGAUGAAAGGAAUGGGAAAAAAAGAAACAAGAACAAACCUCUCAAAGGAUUCCACUUUAUAGGAUCAUUCUGAAGAAAGUGCUUUACCAACCCUCAAUUGUUUUAUAAAUAAAAAUGAAUUGUAAUUUUUAUAAAUAAAAAAAUUUUAAUGCAAA